GCCAGGUAUGGUAGCAUGUGCUUGUAGUCCUGGUUACUCAGGAGGCUGAGGCAGGAGGAUUGCUUGAGCCCAGGAAUUUUAGGUUACAGUGAACUACGAUCGUGCCACUGCACUCUAGCCUGGGCAACAGAGCAAGACUCUGCCUCUA
rnacentral:SRP_RNA from 1 species